CACGUAGGGGGCAAGCGUUGUCCGGAUUUAUUGGGCGUAAAGAGCUCGUAGGCGGUUUCGUAAGUCGGGUGUGAAAACUCUAGGCUCAACCUAGAGACGCCACCCGAUACUGCGAUGACUAGAGUCCGGUAGGGGAGUGUGGAAUUCCUGGUGUAGCGGUGAAAUGCGCAGAUAUCAGGAGGAACACCAACGGCGAAGACAGCACUCUGGGCCGGAACUGACGCUGAGGAGCGAAAGCGUGGGUAGCGAACAGG
rnacentral:rRNA from 1 species